rnacentral:lncRNA from 1 species
ACCGCCUUAUCUUCUCGAGAACAGACUCAUGCCUCUCCCCUUCUCAUUCCUCAAUUUCAUUCGUGCCCUAAUUUCUACCCCCAACGUCCGUGCCGUCUGUAACUCGCCGCGCCACCUCUGGCGCCUGAAAAUUAGUGAGGCCGGCGUUCGGCGUUGUCCCUCUGUUUCUGGGAGCAAAGCUGAAGCCGCGCCUAUUUCCCUCUUCGCAAGCUAGCGCCGCUGAGGGGACCGGCGGAUCGCCGCCGUCAUCUUCACUGAGCCACCAUCGGUACCUCCCUCUCCCUUCAAUUCGUGUCUCUCUAACUCUCUGAUUUCCCUCUGUUCCUUUCUCGCUUCUAAAUUUUCACAUCAAAUUUCAGUAAGCAAAACUGAGCCCUAGCCCCAUUUCUGGAAUCGCCGCCGUCGCGGCCCUUCUCCGGCGCGAUGGAUCGCCGUUGGACAUGUGAAUCGGCGAGAGUCGCCGUCAGCAUCGGGUCUCCCGACCUUAGGUGUCUUGCUGCCUUCGCCCUUGAGUUCCAGCUAGCGGAUGCUUCCGUCGAUGCACUCUGCCCAUCGGAACAGAACUCGUUCUGCUUGGUGUCGCCCUUAGGCGCAGCCAUGGCGCUCUGCCCCAACCCCCAGAUUGAACGGCAAUAGGCCACCAAGGAUACAACUCAACAGGUUACUAGCAUUUUCUAAGUUCAUUCUAUCUUAUGAAAUCUUGGUUUUCCAUACUCCGAUUAUGCUUAUGCUGGAGAUUACACUAGGCAUGAUUUUGCUAUGUGUCGUAAGAAAUUCUCAUUGUAUUUGCCUUGUGUGAAAGUCAUGGGUUGUUGAUUCAUAUGGAUAAAAGAUUAUACCAUUCGUCUCCUACUAUGCUUUCAAUAAACUGAUCAUUGCUUCAGGAAAUGAGGCGUGUAAACAAAAGAAGAAAAGACAUACUGAUGUAAAAAAUACCUUGAAUGUUUGUUCUUUUGGCUGUCUGUGCUGCUAUGUUUCAAUAAGAAAGAGCUGAAAAUGAAAUUCCAUAUUUUGUUUAACAAUUGCAGACUGAAACUCAAGGAGAAAAUGGUGAAAGAGUUGGCCAUUCUUACCUUUCUGAGUCUGCCAGAAGCUGAAUCAAAAUUCUUUCCCUUUGAGAGUUGGUACACGAAGGAAGAUAUGAAGGAGAAUUUGUUGACUGAAAUAGAAGAAAGGGUUGUUGGCUAAUAGUAUAAAGUGUGGAGUUGGUGCUGAUACUUGAGUGUUUGACAAGAUGAAGCAUGCGUAGGUUAUAGAUGAAUGACCCUUAGCAGCAUGGCUUUGAGCUGAAAAGGGGCUGUAGAGUUGAAGAAAAUGAGUUGAUGUUUGUACUUGCAUACUUUCUAUUGCUGAUUUUGGGCUUUGCGUGUAUGUAGCAGAUAGAGUAGGAAUUGAUAUAAAGUGUAGGAAAGUUGUGAGGUGACAAUUAAAAUCCCUCCGUCUUGUAUCAUUUGCGCGUUUGUGAUACUAAUUCCGAGUUUUGCUAAUUGAUCGCGUGUUCUCGUAAAAUAAAUCUAAAUUAAAUCCGUAGAUUUAAUUUGAUUCACAAGCCAAAAUAAAACCACUACUUAAGUAAUCAUAGUAAAUAAAAAAAAAACAAUACUUUUAUUAAAAAGAAUAAAUAACAUGACUUUGUUAAGUCAGUUAUAAAUUAAAAAUAUAAAUUAUUGAUUGGCUCAAUAAUUCAUAAUGAGGUUUUUCUCAUGCGAAGUUAGUAUGUACAAUCGAAUCAAAAACUCUGUAUCUCGCAUAAACAUCUAAUUCAAAAUCUUGAGUUGAAUUAUCUAAUGAUAAUCACUGGAUUAUCAUAGCUAAAGAUGCAAUGAUAUAAUUAUUGUAAUAGUGGUCUUUACUUAAUAAAUAAAAAUAGCGGGUUGCUACAUACUACCCCUCUUAACAAAAAUUUCGUCCCGAAAUUUGCAUACUCUCAGAUUCUUAGGCUAGCCAAUUCGUUUUCUUAGCUUCUACACUUCUCAAUUACAAAUGGCCUCAGGUUUCUUGACCUCAGUCGGUUUACUCGUUCAACCAAACGUAGGUGAACUCCGUCUUAAAUGUUCUUCGACUCUCCUAGUUGGGGGUGGAGGGGGUGGGUUAGGUUCUUGGUCGGUUUGUGGUUCUCCUGAUAUCGCAUUAUGGUUUUCACGAUUGUUAAUGCUUCUCUUGGCGGAUGUCUGAUUGCCAUAAAAUGCAUCAAAUGGGUUUACUCUAACAUAAUCUGAUACAACCUCAAAGGGCUGCCUUACGAUAAUCUUUAAAUGAUUCAUUAUAUACCCCAUGCUUGUGCAUAAAUCAUAAAAGUUCUCAUCUUACUUAGAUACAUAGCAUACCAAGCCAACUCAAAUAAGCAUCUUCUGAUUGAAAAGGUUGAUGAGAACUCACUAUAACAAUUGGGUUGUAAAGGUUCUAAUCCUGCAUGACAACUUGUAUAAAGGGGGUUGCUACUAAUUAGCCAGAAGGUUAAAAUAACAUGUCCAACGAAUCGAAACAAAAAGAUCAAAUGGUCGAAACUAACCGGCCCUUGAGACAUGAAGGUUUGAAAACCCAGAAUAACGACUAUUGAUAUAUAUAUUUACGUGGGCUAUCAGGCCCAACACAAUUCCUUCUCUUUCACUUGGCAACACAAUCCCGUACCAGGAAAUUCUUAACUCGGUAUGACUAUAAGUAAGCUCCAAGCUUAGGGCAUCACUUAUAUCCUUAUGCUUUCUAAGUUCCAUUGUUCAAUCAUAUUAUUAUGAUCAAAAUCCUUCAUAGCAUAACUAGGGCGUCAUUAUGAAAUUCUGAAAAAAUCAUAUCUUUCGAAUAUGAUAACUUCUGUGUCAACAACGUGAAAAUAAUGCCAACAACCUUAGAGUUAAUACUUAAAAGGCAUUUCAUUCCUAACUCGGUCAUAGCGUCAUAUCUCAAUUAACAUCAUCGGGGUUGUAAGCUUCAACGGUUCUUAGCAUCUCAAACCCAUAAGUAGCGUAAAAAUUUUCUAACCCUAUAAACAUCAUCAUAUCUCCACAUCUUGUUGCAUCUCCAUCCUUGGCGUUCUCUUGUAUCAUCUAUCGUUGUCUUGCUUUUCUUUCUCCUUUGUUCUUCACUUACAACUAUAGUAAAAUAUAGAUGGACUUCUUUCUAUGUUUGCUUCUAUGUUCUGUCAUAGAGGUGAUCAUAUAGCUUAGUCGCUCUAAGUUCUUAGGGAUUCAUAUCAUAGUCAUAGUUAAUCGUGUUUGUGUCAGUCAUUCCAUAGAAUAAUAGUGUAAAUUAACCAUCGAUAGUUUCACGUUCUCAUAUUGCUUUCAUAUCGCGUUAUUUCCCACUAUUCAUUCAUGUAAAAAGAUAUUCAAGAAUUCAAACAUCAAUUUAAAACAUGAAAGCGCUUACCAUUCUGCUUCGUUGAGAGUGAUGCGAUGAAGUGCUGAGCUUUGUCGACUAAACUCUAGAUAUUUUAGUGACUCAGUCUAGGCUUAACUUAAAGAAACUCUUAGGCUCAGAGCAAACGAACUGCUCUGAUACCAUUCUGUCACGACCGGCCUUAACUAAAGAUAACUAAUCCGGGAAAUCGUGACUAGGGAAGGGAUUUAAGAAGCGGGGUUAGAAAGGGCACAUUUGACUCAUUAAACUCGAUUAUAGACAUUAUAUCUAGCAUUAAUUUUGAAAUAAAAUUUAAGACAUUGAAGAUUGACGCAUAUAUUAAAAAAAAAAUCUCGAUGAACCCGAGUAAGCUUAAUAUUUCUUUGAAGAGUAAUUGCAUAUAUAGACUUGCUAAAACAUAAUCAGUGUUUGCAGCGGAAGCAACUGAGAUACAUGUAUGCAGACAAUAUCCUUUCUGAGCCUAUUAGUUCGACAAAAGCUCCACUCAGCAACACUUCAUCGUCAUCACAGCUCAACCUGCACAUUAAAACAUAUGCAGGGCUAAGUACAAAAGUACUUAGUGGGCUUGCCAAAACUAUAAUAUAAGCUUAACAUUUUAUAUACAAACCAAGCAUCUAAGAAAAAGCUUCUUUCAAAUCCUUCUUAAUAAAUUUCAUAAUCCAUAAUAGCGUGUGCAUUCUUCAUCAUAAUCAUUCAAAGCAUCGUGUCGUGAGGAAGGCCUUCCUCAACAACACAGGCAUCGCGCCGUGAGGGAGGCCUCCCUCAGCGGACACGGCAUCGUACUGUUGAGGGAGGCCUCCCCCAACAGACGCUAGCAUCGUCCGUUGAGGGAGGCCUCCCUCAACGGACGUUUGACCGGCCAACCCUCUCAUUGACUCACGGUCGCGUUGUUACUAAAUCUGCAGAAGCUAUCCGCUCAGGAUUCAACUCUUACAUCAUCACUGGCAUAAUAAAAUAAAGCAUUCAGUAACAAAGCAUAAUAAUACACAGGCGUACAAAGCGUAAGACUAAAGCGUAGAACAUUAGCGUAAAUAAUAUAGCGUAAUACUUGGUAACAAGCGUAAAUUAAAAGCGUAAAAUUUACGAAACAAAGCAUAACCGAUUAAGCAUAAAAGGUAAUUAAUUUAAGAAUAAAAUAAUCAUUUAAGCAUAAUAGGGCAUAACUCAAUUAAGCGUAAUAAAGUAUAUUUUUUUUUAAGCAUAAACUUUAUAGUUCUAUAGCAUUUUAUUUUGCUAAGAAAUGCCCACCUGAUAGCAAAGAUUUGUAAGGUGUUGACUCCUUGAUAGCUCUCUCGCGCUUGACCUUAUUCGAAUAUAAAUAAAGCAUUGGCCAGAAAUCUCAUAAUUGAGAAUGGUAAUUAACUAUGCAUGACUCAUUUUCGCUAUAAAAUCCAAACUAUGGAUUAAGCUCGUCUUAUGAAUGGAUAUUAAUCUUAAUUAAUCCACUCAUCUUGGUUGCUAACCCUUACUAAUUAAUAAUCCCUUCUAAUUAAUCCAUAAUUAGAAAACUAAAUAAUUAAUAGAUUAAUCUAGACUAGUCUUUAAUCGGCUAAUAAAUAAUAAGGCAGCCUAAGAUUAAUUGGGAGCAACAUAAGGCAACCCAAUAAAAGAAAUUGGACCCAAUCAAAUAACCAUCGCAAUUCAUUCUCUUAAAAUAUGCCUGGGCUCCCAUUAAGAAAAGGAAUCAGCCUAUCUGAUUAACUCUGGCCCAGCUGCUUAGCCUCUAAUAAAAUCGGCCCAAGAAAUAGCCCAAACUAAUUUCCCUUUAUCCUCCAAAUCGUGGCUGCAAUUCUCUCUCUCUCCUCUCUCGCAAUCACGCUCGCGGCAAACGCCGCGCCUUCCUCUUAGCAAUAUCUGCCGCACUGUUAGUCCAGAGGCUCAUCUGAAAUCCGGCACCCCUCACCUUGCAUCUCAAUCCUCAUGACCCUUCAAGAUGAUAAAUACGACCUACCCAACUCAGCGAGGAGCCAAGUCGAGCCCGAGCUAUUCUUCAAAAUCACCCCGUCGCCCAGUAACUUUCCGGCGAACGCAGCUUUUCUCCACCGCCUUAUCUUCUCGAAACAGACUCACCUCUCCCCUUACUCUAUUCCUCAAUUUCAUUCGUGCCCUAAUUUCUCCCCAACGUCCGUGCCGUCUGUAACUCGCCGCGCCACCUCUGGCGCCUGAAAAUUAGUGAGGCCGGCGUUCGACGUUGUCCCUCUGUUUCUGGGAGCAAAGCUGAAGCGCGCCUAUUUCCCUCUUCGCAAGCUAGCGCUGAGGGGACCGGCGGAUCGCCGCCGUCAACUUCACUGAGCCACCAUCGGUACCUCAAAUUUCAGUAAGCAAAACUGAGCCCUAGCCCCAUUUCUGGAAUCGCCGCCGUCGCGGCCCUUCUCCGGCGCGAUGGAUCGCCGUUGGACAUGUGAAUCGGCGAGAGUC